UUAAGGAGCAUGGCUUUGCUCUUGUUGGUUCCUUGGAUGCUUCUCGUGACAUCAGUGAACUCGUGUCCAGAGGGCUGGGAGGAAUACCGGGACCACUGCUACUACUUCUCCGACUUUGAGCUCACAUGGACGGACGCCAAUCAAAUCUGCAAGGAAAUUGAUCCCACCUCCAGCCUGGCCACCAUCAACAAUCUGUAUGAGGUGGCCUUUGUUAACGAGAAGCUCGGUGGGUCCAAGCAUAUCGGGCUGAACGACAUCGAGCAAGAAGGAGUGUACGUUUGGGCCAGCGGCGAGCCUAUCACCCUCGAGAACUGGUCUUGCAGUCAGCCGGACAAUUACAAUGACGAGGAAGACUGUGUAGAAAUGCAUGGAGAUGGCCGAUUCAAUGACCAAAACUGUGAAGACUACCAUACCUUUGUCUGCAAGAUAUAAGAAGAGGAAUAUAUUCAGUGGCAUCGUAAGAACUUAGCGAAACCCCCGCCAGGGGCGUCAUCAGCUCGGCCAGGAAGUUUAAUUAAUAUAUUGGCACACGAAGCCUGCCACGAUAGCAACCAUUUACCAACGUGCAAAGGCACAAAUUCUUUCAUCGCUACGAGUAUAUGUACGUGAGAGGCGGCAUCAGAACCAGCUGUCAUGGUCGUGAUUCCCAAAGCAAUAAAUCACAGCGUUCACACAA